AACACUUCUAUGAUUAUCAUAUUUCUAUCUUUUCUUCUAUCUCUUCUCCCUGUAACAUACAACUGCUUUUUUUCUUCUACAUUUGCAACAAUCUCCAUCGGUUCUCAUUUUUGAAAAGAAUCUUAUUUUUCUCAAAUCUAGCGACUAUGACAAACACUCUAUUGUUAACAAAAAGAAGUUGAUGGCGUUUGAAUUGGGCGGUGGCCGAAAAUCAUAAGACCGAGCGUCGGUCGAAUAUUACAACUUACGGAAGUGCAAAGAAAGUGUUGGUCAAAGUAUGUAAUUUAAAAUGAAUAGUGUUUGGCCGGAGGUGUUAUAGAUCUAUAUAAAGUCGUUGGUCGGCGGUGGUGUUCGUAAGUGGUGGUUGAUGAUGACAUCUAACGGCGGAGUAAGUGGUUACUCCGAGCCGCUGCCGCCAUCCCAUGGGAACAUGCAGACCCAGGCGAUGGAGUAAGUGGUUAUUAACUUUUAGUUGAUGAUGAAGAUAACUUGGGGUUUUUUUUAAUAAAAGAUCUCAUAAUUAACCUCUCUUUAUUACAAAAGCAGAACUCAUUUGAUAUGUUUGAUGGAGACCUGGUUGUUCUAAUGGUUGUUACUGGCGGUGGUAACUGGCGGUCGGCAGUCGUUACCAGUGGUGUGACAUGUUGGACAUAUUAUCUUUAGUGGUUCAUCAGAUUCGCCGCGGACGUCGCAGCCGCCGUUAUUCGAUGCGGGUGGGUGUUGCCAGUGGUGGUUACCGGCGGUGGUUAUGGAUGAUUUCCGGUGGUUACAGAAGAUUUCUUCAUGUAUUUGUGUAUACUUUUUGGGUAUAUUUUAAUGCUUUAGAAGUUGUACUUUGUAUUUAAGAAAUUGUACUAUAUUUUGUAAC